GACGAACGCUGGCGGCGUGCCUAAUACAUGCAAGUCGACCUUAGUGGCUACCGGUUGAGUAACACGUGAGUAACCUGCCCAUCAGAAGGGGAUAACCCUUGGAAACAGGUGCUAAUACCGUAUACUGAUGGAUGGACCCGCGGUGCAUUAGCUAGUUGGUUCGGUAACGGCUCACAAAGGCCACGAGGCAUAGCCGACCGGAGAGGGUGAUCGGCCACACUGGGACUGAGACACGGCCCAGACUCCUACGAGAGACAGCAGUAGGGAAUCUUCGGCAAUGGACGAAAGUCUGACCGAGCAAAGCCGCGUGAGUGAAGAAGGUUUUCGGAUCGUAAAACUCUGUUGUUAGAGAAGCGGUAUCUAACCAGAAAGCCACGGCUAACUACGUGCCAGCAGCCGCGGUAAUAC
rnacentral:rRNA from 1 species